rnacentral:rRNA from 1 species
UACGGGGGGGCAAGCGUUGUUCGGAAUUACUGGGCGUAAAGGGCUCGUAGGUUGCCCACUAAGUCAGACGUGAAAUCCCUCGGCUUAACCGGGGAACUGCGUCUGAUACUGGAUGGCUUGAGUUCGGGAGAGGGAUGCGGAAUUCCAGGUGUAGCGGUGAAAUGCGUAGAUAUCUGGAGGAACACCGGUGGCGAAGGCGGCAUCCUGGACCGACACUGACACUGAGGAGCGAAAGCCAGGGGAGCAAACGGG